UAUAUAUACACACACAUAAACAGUUAUGUGCUGCUUAAUAACAGAGAUAUAUUCUGUGAAAUGUAUCAUUAGGCAAUUUCAUGAUCGUGGAAACAUCAUGGAA